CCUACGGGCGGCAGCAGUAGGGAAUAUUGCUCAAUGGGGGAAACCCUGAACCAGCAACGCCGCGUGGAGGAUGAAGGUUUUCGGAUUGUAAACUCCUUUUUGUAGAGAAGAUAAUGACGGUAUCUAACGAAUAAGCACCGGCUAACUCCGUGCCAGCAGCCGCCGUAAUACGGAGGGUGCAAGCGUUACUCGGAAUCAAUGGGCGUAAAGGGCGCGUAGGCGGGAUAGCAAGUCAGAUGUGAAAUCCUAUGGCUUAACCAUAGAACUGCAUUUGAAACUGUUAUUCUAGAGUAUGGGAGAGGUAGGUGGAAUUCUUGGUGUAGGGGUAAAAUCCGUAGAGAUCAAGAGGAAUACUCAUUGCGAAGGCGACCUGCUAGAACAUAACUGACGCUGAUGCGCGAAAGCGUGGGGAGCAAACAGGAUUAGAUACCCUUGUAGUC
rnacentral:rRNA from 1 species